AAAAUUUUUAAUUUGGAAAACAAUCUUCCCGGAAAGAAAAUCCUGAGAGAGAUUUUUUUUUCUUUUUUCUCAUAACCCUAAUAUUGUUUCCCACCGCCCACAACUCUCUUCUCCACCACCUUCCUUCUCUUCCAGAAGUUUAACAGAAGAUCGAUUUGAUUAAUUUGAUCAACAGGGUUUUUUUAUGUGUAGGUAAUAAGUUUCUCUAUUUUCCUAUUUUUCAUAAAAAAAUCUCUGCGAAAAAUCUCACAUCUUCUUCUUCUUCCAUUAUUUGGCAAUCCCACAUAUAUCCAGUAUCAUCAACAACAUCAGGUAGUCAAUUUAUACUUUCAAGAUCCAGGUGAUGUUUUUGUUCUUAUCAUAACUGUCGAACUCUAUGUUUAUUUGUAGGAUUGCUGUGUACAAAGCACUCUACACAUUUGGAAGUUAUAUGUCUGAUGUCAUGGCUGCAGUUGACCAGUUAAUUUGGUCGAAAAAAUUCGGCAAUUUGAUUUAUCUUAGUUAUGAUUUACAAAACUAAUUGAUGCUUCUGAAAAGGAUUUAUGUUUCUGAACAAUAACUUCCUCUUUGCAUGUUAGUAAAGUAUGCACUUAUAUUUGCUACUCGGAAUUAAUUUAUUGAGCCUCCAAUAAUUUUCAAAUUUUAUCAAUCACAAUAAGAUAUCCAACAGUUCUACCCAAAUCACUGUUCAUCCUGAAUUCAUAGGUUGUCUAUCAUUAUGAUUAUUGGCGGUUUUGAAAAAGCUUCCAAGAUAACCAGUAUUGUUCAUAUGCAUGUGAAGUAUAGAUGUUACCUGUUACAGAUACUUGAUUAGUAAUCCAUAUUCAUACUAAGUUUGUUUGUCGUCAAUAAUGGAACUAUAUUCUUUCCUUUUUGAGUAACGGCUAAGCAUUCAUUCCAUAUUACUACUGAUUGUUUAUAUUAUUGUGAUAUCCUUAUAACCCUGCUUUAAUCUCAAAACCGUGUUCGCGUCUUCUUACAUAAUUCUAUGUAUUAGUUUUAUAUGUGGUUUCAGGUGAUAAGUUCUAUUACGAGUUGGAAUUCAAUUGGAAUCGAAUAUUGCUACAAUGGCCAAAAUCCUUUGCCUGCACCUUUCUUAGAAAUUGCAAAGCAGUCUCCAUGGGUUGGUACAAAGAUAGAGAUGAUGUUCUGUGGAGAUCCACUAAUUCCUAUCAUUGUUACUCCUCUGGGCCGUGUAGACCCAAUUAGUAAUUUCAGUACAAUCGUAGUAUUAUGAGUUAUAUAUUCAACUGGAAUAUGGUAUGAGUACACCAACCGGUACAGGGGUCAAUCUUAUAAUGGUUGGAAUGGUUUGGGUGAACUGUUUCAAGGGCGCCUUUAUGAUGGAACCAUUAGGUGUUAAAUAAUGCAAUGCCGGCGAAGACUGUACCGAGAGAGGUCUUCAAAUACGGUACUGAGGAGGCGUUGCUUCUUCUUUCUGCCUGUAACGUGAUUACUUUGUAAAUUUUCUGCAUAAUACUGUAAAAUUCGUGGCAACUAUUUAAUUUUUUCACUGUUUAAUUCGGGCUCCUCGAACCAAGGAACGUUGCGGCAUCACCUUGAAGCUGCCCACCAAUUUGUCGGCUCUACAACAUUGCCAUCACCUCUGCAUUCUAAUAUUUCUAUUUUAUUUUCAAAUUUAGCUGAUAAAAACACCAGGAUUCCCUAUUGUUUGUCUGAUAUAUCAAGUUGAAAUAUACCAAAAGUUAUAAUGAAA